GGAAAGGCUACAUGAGCAGGCCGAACAAGACGCGGUGUCCCUUUAACAGGGAGUGGGUUAUAAAUGCGUCCCAGUCUUGGUGGCCCGCGUCUCGGUUCACGAGUCAGGUUGAAGCCGACGGCUUCUCGGAGCGCCUCGGCCAUUACCGCUACGAUCACACACACACACAAAACACACGCAGCACUUGGACUUGGACUCGAAAUGUACGUAGCCAAUGCACACGUAUACAGUUCACGCACAAAUUCAUUUCAGCUGGCAAGCAAAGUGCUCGCAGAUGGGAAAUGUGCCAAGAUCAGCGCUUUUGCUUUCUGUCUGUCUCUCUCCCCCGUCUCUCUCUCUCCCCCUCCCUUCCACCACCACCCCUCCCCUUCAAAAUACCACAAAAAUCUUGGCGCAACCCCGAUCGCAACAAGCAACUGCGCCAAUCCACCCAUCGGCCUGACGGUGCACCGGAGAUAUACGUACCAUUGCCAUGUGAAAAAACACAUAUCAACAAUCGACUUUGUUUGACUCAACACUAAGAAUGCUGGGAACACACAUACUGGUGGGUCAGGCAGCAUCCGUGGAAAGGGAACCAGAGUUAACGUCUCAGCUCAAGUCCUGGUGAAAUAUAAUGUCUUUCUUCACAGAUGAGGCCUGACCUGCUGAGCGUUUCCAGCAUUUCCUGGGGUUUUCUUUUUAUUGAGGAUUUCCAGCACCUGCGGCUCUCCGAUCUUCAAUCGAUUUGACUGAUUUGACUGAGAAGAAAGUUGGAGAAUUUCUACCGACUUUUCACUCUCCAAACGACCCGCGUCUAAUUCUGACUCGGGCUACGCUGCAAUGGAUUCUUAUAUUAGCAAUACCGUCUCCAGUGAUCAGAUCGCGCAAACAUAAUUAUACAUGGGAGACUUGCAUGGACCACAAAUUCUCUGGAGACUCAAAUCAAGGCAAUAUCAAGACACCGAAUUUACUUUUAAACUAUCAACCGAAAAAAAAGGUUAAGAAACUGAAAUCACACAAUAUCUAGAAAUUGAUUAGCAGAAAAUGAUGUAAUGAAUUUGCUUUUUCAAGAUAAUUGUGUAUAACUAAUAAUGAAUUAGUGAACCAAGAAGACACAACCGAGAAAAAAAAGUUAGCAUACAUGGGACGAAUAGCGAGCCGGAUAUGGAAAAAUGUUAACUGCACCUGUCGGUCGCAAUGGAAUUAUCAAGUGUAACUAAUGGAACACCAUUGUCGCUUUCGUAAUGCUUGUUACUGUUACACACGGAGAAAGAGAAGCAACAACUCAAUUACUGCAGCAGCGCGGAAGACCGCGAGUAAGGAUUGUUAUCAGUUCUCCCCAGAUUCUACCACUCCCGACACGCCAAGAGCUAUUUACAGAGGCCAAUUAAUUUAGAGGCAAGCUCGCCUUUGGGAUGUGGGUGAAACCACGGCACCCAGAGGAAACCAAUGCAGUUACAGGGAGCAAACUCCACACAGACAGCACCCGAGAUCUGGAUCCAAGCCGGGUCACUGGCGCUGUGAGGCAAGGUCGAUCUGUGUCAAAUCGCGUUCCUUGGCUUCUGGAGAGAGCAGGGGUUGAGUGAGGCUCACUCACCUGUGUGUUAUCCUCGUUCAGCCGGCGGUGAUUUGUGGCAAGGGCUCGACGUUUUAAACUGCAACCUAGUGUCAAACUAGUCCUGGUGGAACAUUGUUUGUUUUAAUCCAGUUUCCCGAAGAUAUACUACAACUCACAUCCUUACAGAACGCAGUCAUUUGCCAACCCCUGUCUAAUCCAAAUCAUAACUAAAGUGUUGGAGAAAGGAAGGAGAUUACAGGGAGUGGUAGAGAGUGGUGGACACUGCCCGGUCCAUCACGGGUACUGACUUCUCCGCCAUUGAAGAGAUCUAUAGGAGGCGCUGCCUCGGAAAAAAAAGGCAGCCAGUGUCAUCUAAGAGUCAUAGCGCCCUGGCCACGCUCUCAUUUCACGCCUCCCAUCGGGAAGAAGGUACAGGAAAACUCUGACCUCCAGGUUAAAGAACAGUUUAUUCCCAACAACCACCAGGAUCGUGAACACUACACUACACAACACUAACCAAACCAUGAACUUUUAUGAACUGUCUUUAGUUGCACUUCGGUUUAUUUGCACUAAUAUUUUGGUUAUUAAUCAUUUUUUCCUAUUAUAUAUUAUCCAUGCAUAUUGUGUUACAGGCCUGUUAUGUUGCUGCAAGUAAGAAUUUAAUUGUUCUAUUGUCGGUACCUAUGACAAUCUUGGCUCUUGACCUCGACGGAUCAGGCAGCAGUUGCAGAGGGAAUGGACAGUCCACACCACACACUCCCUCUACAGAUGCUGCCUGAUCUGCCGGGUUCCUCCAGCACUUUUUGUUUUGCUCACGAUUCCAGCAUCUGCAGCCCCAACGUCUGCUAAACAAAAAAUACCAAAUCUGUUGUGAUGCAGUCCAAACUAGGAGACAUCGAACAAACAAUUGUCGAAUUAUUUAAAUUGAGUGUCUUCAAAUGUUAGUGUAUAGGAUUUGCACCCCUAAGUAAGAGACUUGGGUGUGAUUGUCUUGUCAGUGCGGCUCGAGUAAGGACCUGCACAUUAUUCGCCCCCCACCUCUCUUUUCCAGCUCUCUCCCCCUCCCCUCUCCCAUCAGAAUCAGUCCGAAGAAGGGCCUCGACCGAAACGUCGCCUGUCCAUUCCCUCCACAAGUGCUGCCUGACCCGCUGAGU